rnacentral:rRNA from 1 species
UCCUUUGCAGGUAUUGGAGGGUGAUGCCUGCCCAGUGACACCACAUUUAACGGCCGCGGUAUCCUAACCGUGCAAAGGUAGCGCAAUCAAUUGUCCCAUAAAUCGAGACCUGUAUGAACGGCUAAACGAGGUCUUAACUGUCUCUUACAGAUAAUCAGUGAAAUUGAUCUUCCUGUGCAAAAGCAGGAAUAAAACCAUAAGACGAGAAGACCCUGUGGAACUUAAAAAUCAAUGGCCACCCCACACCAAAACCCAAACCUACCAGGCACACUACCCCCUCAACGCUGGCCCAUAAUUUUUCGGUUGGGGCAACCUUGGAGUAAAACACACCCUCCAAAAAUAAGACCACCUAUCUUAACUAAGAACCACCCAUCAACGUGCAAACAGCAACCAGACCCAAUACAAUUGAACAAUGGACCAAGCUACCCCAGGGAUAACAGCGCAAUCUCUCCUAAGAGCCCCCAUCGACGGAGAGGUUUACGACCUCGAUGUUGGAUCAGGACAUCCCAAUGGUGCAGCCGCUAUUAAGGGUUCGUUUGUUCAACGAUUAACAGUCCUACGUGAUCUGAUUCCAGACCAGAA